GGAAAGUAGAGGUAUGGCCGUGACCUUUCUCCUUCCUGACCUUGGUGGCUGCUAUUCUUCUGGCUGCUCUGAUUUUGCACGAGAGGGCUGAUGUACUCACAGUUCUUCCAGCUCUCAUCCUGUCUUCUGUUUAAAAUUCCCAACACGUGGCCUGCCCCGAGUGCUAAGGGGACCGGACCAGCUUCCCGCCCACACCGGAGGAGGCCUGCAACAGGAACCAGAGGUCUCCCGAGAACCUCGAAGAUCACCAGCAACACAAGUUGGGCUCAUUCUGAGCUAAUUCUUCACAGAAGAAGAUGCGAGCUGCCACGCUGGUAUGCAGCUCCCACUCCUUGCCCGGCUGAUACUCCGCUGCCUGUGUCUAACAUUUUCAUCAACUCCGCAAUCAAUCAAGCUUUCACAUGAAACAGCAUGUCUGUAAGGCGAGGAUGGGAUGGCACGCACAGUACACACUGCUGCACGGAGGUUUCGGCCAGACAUAGCCUGGCACAGAGCCUGGGGAAGGGAAACAGGAGGACACUCCCUCCUUUGAGGCACCGAGGCCCAGAGGAAACCAACACCACCUCUCACCCUGGCAUGAAUGGAACCAGCGUCUAAGCCACAACAGUUGCAGUGCCCCCUGCUGCCCACAGAUGAGCACUAUACCUUCACUAUCCAGGGACAGACUGGCAUGCCAUCACACCACCCACCCUCGGGGAGACCUGUCACAGUGCCUGACAGCUCCAGCACUGAGUCCAGCUUCUCACAUGAGGGACAGCACCUGGCAGAUUCCCAUGGACCAGAGCAGGACACCCAACAGCUCCAUGCUGCAGGGAUGGAAGAGGAGGAGUGGGGAUUUUCCUACACCCAAGAGAAGACAAAGAUCUCUGUACCCAAACAUAGCCUAGCAAAUCCUUAGAUUAUCUUAAUAGUGACCUUCAAAAAAGAAAUGUUCCUUUCUGAGGGUUCUUUUUGCCUAUUUCUCUUCUGCCUCAGGUUAAAGACCAAAGCAGAAAACUGAUUAACUCCCAGAAGCCCGGCCCUCCAUAGUACCAGUUACUAAUUGAGUCAUCUGUGCAGGGAUCUAUGAGAUGCUAUAUAUUGCCUCAUUGAAGCUCCAGGCCCACUAGAAAGGCUUCAUUAACUCCAGUGCUGAGACUAAGAAAGUGACAACAUGGGCUGGAGAGAUGGCUUAGCAGUUAAGGUGCUUGCCUGCAAAGCCUAAGGACCCAGGUUCGAUUCCCCAGUCCC